rnacentral:rRNA from 1 species
CCGGCCCUACGGGGCGAGCAGUGAGGAAUAUUGGUCAAUGGGCUUACGCCUGAACCAGCCAAGUCGCGUGAGGGAAGACUGCCCUAUGGGUUGUAAACCUCUUUUGUCAGGGAGCAACGCCGGCUACGUGUAGCCGGACUGAGAGUACCUGAAGAAAAAGCAUCGGCUAACUCCGUGCCAGCAGCCGCGGUAAUACGGAGGAUGCGAGCGUUAUCCGGAUUUAUUGGGUUUAAAGGGUGCGUAGGCGGAAUGCCAAGUCAGCGGUAAAAUCGCGGGGCUCAACCUCGCUCCGCCGUUGAAACUGG